rnacentral:piRNA from 1 species
AUGGCUCAGAGGUUAAGAUCCCUGGC